rnacentral:lncRNA from 1 species
CAUCAAGCCAGUGUGCAGGUAGAGUCCCUGCAGAAAUAGGUGCGUUUCCUCUCCCAAGAGAGGGAUGAGAACACACUGCAGCUUUCGCUCUACCAGGAACCAGGAAAGCAGUAUGCCAUGCCACUCACUAACCUGCAAAAGGUUCUAGAGCGUUCCCAACAAGAAGAAAAAGCUCUGUAUUCCGCUGAAUUAGAAAAGGAAAGACAACGUACCACCGAAUGGAAGGAAAAGGCAGAAAAUCUAGAAAGAGAGGCAUUGUUAUUACAGGAACGCUUGGAUGAAGCCAACCAUGUGUUGGAUUCAGCAACCAGACCUACACAACAGUUACAACUAAAGGAAGAACAGAUUGAAGGACUUAAAAAACAAUAAAUGUUGAAUAAUGCACAAAAGAAAUUGAUGAACUCGGGAAAUGGCACAGAAGGAAAAGUGGACAAAGCCCUAAUGAGAAACCUGUUCAUUGGGCAUUUCCAUACACUGAAAAGUAAGUGUCUCGAAGUGUUACAGUUAAUGGGAAGCAUCCUGGGCAUUCAAAAGGAGGAAAUGGAGCAGUUGUUGAAUGGAGAUGAUGGUAGUGUUACCAAGUGGAUGAUGGGAUGGCUUGCAGGAAGAUCAAAAAAUGUUCCCAAAACAUCUUUGACACCAAAUAAGCAAUCUCUGCUUAAUAGUUCUUUUUUCAGACCUUUUUGUUAAAUUUCUGGAAACAGAAUCUCCUUCAUGUGUUCCACCACCAAAAUUUUCUGCUCGUGCCAUGAAGUGUCUAGACUCCAGAGGAAGGAGAAAGGAACGUGCCAAUGUACCAAGAAGUGUGACAGACACAGCAGAAUUCCGAGCUGGUAAAAGAGAGGCUGUGAAUCCAUUCUUGGCACCGUGUCCUGUGGCUGUGCCACUGAUUAGCCUAGAUGGACUUGGACCUGGUGGACCUGGGAAUCUCCUUUUGAAUCCCAUCGCAAACUUCAUGCCCACCUUUACACCAUUGCCAGUGUCCCCCGACAAUAGCACCAGUGUUGUACUAAAGGACCUUUUAAAGCAAUAGGUGAUUCUCAAGCCAGACAUGAUUUAGCACUUUGAAGAAGUCGUAAACACUUUGUACUUUUUAUAAAGUGGCUUUUUGGAAAAGAAGUUGUAUAUUUGUAGGGAGGAAGAACAAAGUUGAUACAUAGAGCUACCAAGUAUUUUGUCUCCCCC